CACGCUAGACUCCCUGACCUCGUUCGUCGCCGCCUUCAUCCCUUCUCCUCCGCCGCCCUUCAUCCCUUCGCCGCUGCACUCGGUCUCACAUCAAAGGCGCCCCACUUGCGGGAGAGGAUGAGCUGAUCUCCAUGGCCAGAUGAGGGAGGAAUACGGGUGACGGGAUGGAUUUGGAUCUGAAGGCGGGGAGGCCAACGUAGCCGCCCCUAGCGCGUCGAGCGAAAGCGAAGGAUUUGGAUCUCAUGGAUUUGGCUGCGUCGACCAGCAGAGGACCACCGCCGGCUCGGCUCCUCCACCACGAAGCAACCUCCUUCCACCCCGUAGCCGCCGCCCAAAACCCUAGCAAUCGAGCCCCACCCAUGGCGCCCUAGGUGGUACAACGGCCAGAGGAGAGGAGAGGAGGUGGAGCAGCCAUCGGCUGGACGUGAGCAGCAUCUUGUGCAUGCAUCCAUUGAGGACGUGAGGAGAUUGGAGGAAAAAAUAUCAGAAAUCGGAAACAUGACGUUUUGGUUCAGUUCUGGAUCAUUUUCCUUUUUGGUUCAGUUUAUAUAAGUGGUUGUUGUUUUAUGUUGCUGCUAGCCAUCAGAAAACGAGUUCACAGUAGGUUUCCAUCCUUACAAUUCAUUUUGUGUUGCUCUGAACUGAAAAAAUAGAGGGGAUAUUGUUGUGCCUAGCGUGAAGUUCACAGUAGGUUUGGCAUCAAUCGAGCAAACUUUGUUACAGUUUUUAGUGGAUGUUGUAUGUAUUACAUUUUUGCUUUUUCUAAAACCACAUGUAUCCAAUAAUCUGAUUGCUUUUCUUUGUAUGAGCACCAGUUUCUGAGCUUUCCCUCCACUAUUUUUUUCCUCUCUCUCUCUUUCUCUCUCUCUCACUCAAUCUCAACUUGGCAAGCGAUGGCAGCGGUGAAUGGGCAGCGCGGGCGUCGAGCAGGAUCAUGGGGGAGCAGGGGAGGCCAGAGGCUGCUCACCAUAUACAUCGCCAUCCAUAGCCGCCCUCGUCCGCCAAGAAGUUGAGGAGGGAGGCUGACCUCCAGUGACCACUCUGCACCGCUCUGGACGACACCCUCCCCCACCAGGUUCAUCCUCCUAAUUCGUUUUAAUCAUCCCAAAUUUUUUUGUCUUACCACAGUUAAGAAAUACGAUUCAUGUUUGCUAUUGCAUUUGGAGCUCCAUCCUUACAACUUAUGGAUAAUAUGAAUACAUCAAGGUGUUUUGGUUCUCCCCAUUCUGUAUGUUCGCAAUGGAGUGUAUAUAUUGUUGAUUUAUGUCAUGGUGAUUGAAUUUGAUUGCAGAGAGAAAGUGCAAAAGCUAUGGGCAAUCCUAUAUGACUGGCGCCAUCAGUAAGGAUUUAUUUAAAGCUAGCUUACUUUUGGGUCUAAGCCAAGUUUAUUUCUUUCGCAGAUUUAUUCACCUUAUUGGGACGGUGGGGUUAAUAUAUAUACAUCAACUUUGAGCAUCAGCAACGCAUGAAGCUUGCUUCUGAGGCUGCAACAUACUUUGCAAUCCCCCUGUGAAACAUACUUUUGUCACUAUGCACAUAUGGUUAGUCGAACGAAUUGAUUUCGAUUAGACUAUCUUUUUCCUAAUUACUUGUUAUAUGAUGUUCUUUACUAUUCAGAGGUUGUUGAAGGGAGAUGGGGCUCUUCAGGCCCCUUUGGUGCAAAAGCACAAGCAACAGCAUCUACAGCUGACCACUCAUAGCCUAGGAUGUCCUGCAGAUUUGAUCUAUUUUGGAUAGAGUACAUGGAAUCAAACCACAGGAUACCCAAGCAGUGCGUACAAAUUGUAGUGGUGCUUGUAGCUUAUCAUCAAUCUGCCAUUAUUAUUUGUAUGUUGAAUGGGCGCUUUAUAUUUUAGGGCGGAAGACUGAAGCAAAGAAAACUGCGGCUCUUUAGUAUAUCUUCAGAUUUGCGGCUCUUUGAGCUGUGGUACAUUUGAUUCGAGACCCAGAUGAGGUUGGUUUUACGUUUCUUAUUGGAAGAGUGAGAUGCCCAGGACAGAAUCCAGUUUGUAUCAACGCCUCAUUGAAUAGAAUCAUGUAGAUUCUGCUUCUUCAUAAAGAAAUAGUUUUAAGGGAGGACUUCAAAGAGUAUUUUGCCAAAUUUGGUAAAGUGCGGGUAAAUUGAUUUUUGGUUGUCCUUUUUCUUUACAAUUAUUUCUCAUACUAUUACUUGCAAUGUUUGUUUACAUACUAUCCACCACCGUCUUCGCCCCAUCUUAGCUUCUCCUCAUCUCCACUCUCUCUCG